AUGGUAUGGUACGAAUACCAUCAUACCAUGGUAUACAUGAAUGGUACCAUGGUAUGGUAUGAUGGUAUGGUACAAAUUCCUAUACCAUGGUAUACAUGAAUGGUACCAUGGUAUGGUAUGAUGGUAUGGUACAAAUUACUAUACCAUGGUACAAAUUAUUAUGCUAUGGUAUGAAGCAUGGUAUGGUUUUUCAAAAGAGGAAAUUUUGAAAAGUUAAUAAACCUAUUCUUAAACAGGAUUUUAUUAAAUAUCUGUUUUCUUUCUUUCUUUUUUUACCUUUUCCAAAACAAACUUUUUUUUCAAUGAGAAACAGGAACAAGAAUUUUGGUUGAAAAACAAUGUAAACAAAAUAUUCAUUGGUUCAAUUUUAAAAUCUAUGAUCAUUUCAAAAAACAUUAUCAAUGCUAAUGAGCAUAUAUAUAUGUAUAUGCUUGGGGGUUUGGAUGACUUUUAAAUAAAACAGGGAUUUAGCUGGUUGAGGAGUGGCCACUCCUGUUAACUUUGGGAUAAACUAUAGAUAGGAGACAGUAAUGAACUUACAUUGGUUAGAGGUAUAGGGCGAGGGUUGAGAUCUCACAAAACAUGCUUAACACUGCCACAUUUGUUGCACCUGUACCAAGUCUGGAACCUGUUCUCUAGUCUUGUUUUUAAAAAAAUUUGGUUCAUUUAUAUGUUUUGGAGUGUAUUGUCACGUUUAUUUUAUAUGAACUAGUACACAUUUUUGUUCAGAAAACGGCCAUAUAACUUCUAACCCCACCCC
rnacentral:lncRNA from 1 species